rnacentral:miRNA from 1 species
ACCCUUGCUCGGGUGUGAUGUG